rnacentral:rRNA from 1 species
UACGUAGGGGGCUAGCGUUGUCCGGAAUCAUUGGGCGUAAAGGGCGCGUAGGCGGGAUGGCAAGUCGGUCGUGAAAUCCCUCGGCUCAACCGAGGAACGUCGAUCGAUACUGCUGUUCUUGAGGAUUGCAGAGGAGACUGGAAUUCCCGGUGUAGCGGUGAAAUGUGUAGAGAUCGGGAGGAACACCGGUGGCGAAGGCGGGUCUCUGGGCAAUUCCUGACGCUGAGGCGCGAAAGCGUGGGGAGCAAACGGG